UACGUAGGGGGCGAGCGUUACCCGGAUUUACUGGGCGUAAAGCGCGUGUAGGCGGCUGGUCAAGCGUGGUGUGAAAUCUCCGGGCUCAACCCGGAAACUGCAUUGCGAACUGACCUAGCUGGAGUGCAGGAGAGGGCAGCGGAAUUCCCGGUGUAGCGGUGAAAUGCGUAGAUAUCGGGAAGAACACCAGUGGCGAAGGCGGCUGCCUGGCCUGUAACUGACGCUGAGACGACGAAAGCGUGGGGAGCGAACCGGG
rnacentral:rRNA from 1 species